UUUAUAUUGAGGCCCAUAACCAGAAGUAUGAACAGGGGUUAAGCAGCUUUACGAUGGGCCUCAAUCAAUUUUCAGACCUGACUAAAAAGGAAUGGCCGUGUGCGUGAUGCACAAAGAAGAAGACAACACAACCAAAUUAGGAACUGGGAAGUGCUACUGCCUGCUCUAUACAUCAACAAAAAAUGUUGUACUUAAAAAAUUCAGUUUAACAAUGUGAACUUAAUUAGCCAACAUAACAUUGUUGCAUAAAACUAACAGAUUAAUAAAACCAAUACAGACUUGCAUCUCAUUGGCUGAGGAUUUUGCAGUGUAUUUUGGGUAAUUGUUGUCUGGCAUCCUCAAGGAGUGACAGAUCUAGAAAUAAAUGUGGUUGCCAGGAGGCGACCAAGACUACUUUACAGUAGUCCAUGAAAGAAAACGAUGUGCAAAAAGCAUCAAAAAAGCAUGAUGAAUCUCAUGACUGCUGAUUACCCCACAUUAAAUAAAUAUUUUUAACUUUU